CUGAGACCCUCUCUCAGGGCCCCGGCAGCAUCAGGAGGUCUCCCUUUUUGGAGACUAGACAUCCCUGUUUAAUAUUUAAACAGCAGUGUUCCCA
rfam:Neotoma lepida isolate 417 scaffold_363, whole genome shotgun sequence.